UAGAAAGGGGAAUUAGGGUUUACCUGGUAUGAAUCCUGAGAUACUCGGACUCUCUCUUCUCCCGCGUACACGUGAACGGCGCGGCGGACUACUUCUUCUCCGAUGAACGGAACCGCAGCGCCACCAUGAGGCCAUCACGUAACGACCUUCACUUCUCUCUCUCAGCAUCUCCGAUCUUCUUUCUGCUUCUGUAUUCGGAUUCACGAUAAUGAUUAGGUUGAUGAUGAUAACAGCUCAGGUAACGGUAAUUUGUUCUUGUUCAUAGCACUCGGAUCGGCGAAGCUUUGUUGAUGCGUGCGGAGGUUAUUGGUGGAAGAUUGCGAGCGGUUAUAGUGAAGAGAAAAAUCGAGAUUGAAGAGUGAAGGAAUAGAGUUAUGGUUCGAGGAAGAAGGAGAUUUGAGGAAGACUGAAGAAUUGAAGGUUCCAGGGGCUUGUUGUGACAAAGCCAACCGAUUCAGGAUCAGUUUGAGAUUGAUACAACGCUGCCAGUUUUGCUGCCCAUAAGUCUCUUAUCAAGUUGCUGGAUCUGAUGGUAUGCUAGUCGGUCGGGAAGCGCAUCUGAUGGUAAUAUCCUCAAGCGGAACAAAGGCACUGAACUGGAAUUUGAUUUAAUUGCAGACUGGUUCAUGAGCCGAUACGAUUCAAUUUUGUGGCGCGGUUUCGGACUGACAAAUGGUUUGUUUAGUAAGUGUAUGCAGUUAGUUUUGUAUUUUGAUGCAGGGGCUGG